rnacentral:rRNA from 1 species
CUAAGGCUAAAUACUCUCUAGUGACCGAUAGUGAACCAGUACCGUGAGGGAAAGGUGAAAAGCACCCCGGAAGGGGAGUGAAAUAGAACCUGAAACCGUGUGCUUACAAGUAGUCAGAGCCCGUUAAUGGGUGAUGGCGUGCCUUUUGUAGAAUGAACCGGCGAGUUACGAUUUGAUGCAAGGUUAAGCAGUAAAUGUGGAGCCGUAGCGAAAGCGAGUCUGAAUAGGGCGUUUAGUAUUUGGUCGUAGACCCGAAACCAGGUGAUCUACCCUUGGUCAGGUUGAAGUUCAGGUAACACUGAAUGGAGGACCGAACCGACUUACGUUGAAAAGUGAGCGGAUGAACUGAGGGUAGCGGAGAAAUUCCAAUCGAACCUGGAGAUAGCUGGUUCUCUCCGAAAUAGCUUUAGGGCUAGCCUCAAGUGAUGAUUAUUGGAGGUAGAGCACUGUUUGGACGAGGGGCCCCUCUCGGGUUACCGAAUUCAGACAAACUCCGAAUGCCAAUUAAUUUAACUUGGGAGUCAGAACAUGGGUGAUAAGGUCCGUGUUCGAAAGGGAAACAGCCCAGACCACCAGCUAAGGUCCCAAAAUAUAUGUUAAGUGGAAAAGGAUGUGGCGUUGCCCAGACAACUAGGAUGUUGGCUUAGAAGCAGCCAUCAUUUAAAGAGUGCGUAAUAGCUCACUAGUCGAGUGACACUGCGCCGAAAAUGUACCGGGGCUAAACAUAUUACCGAAGCUGUGGAUUGUCCUUUGGACAA